rnacentral:misc_RNA from 1 species
UCCGAGUUGACCCCGGCAGUCUCCCAUGAGUCCCCGGCAUCACCCGCUGGCAACAUGGAACAAGGGUUGCGCUCGUUGCGGGACUUAACCCAACAUCUCACGGCACGAGCUGACGACAGCCAUGCAGCACCUGUGCUAGCUCCCCGAAGGGUCCUUUGUCUUUCGACUCCGUACUACUAACAUGUCAAGCCUUGGUAAGGUUCUUCGCGUUGCAUCGAAUUAAACCACAUGAUCCACCGCUUGUGCGGGCCCCCGUCAAUUCCUUUGAGUUUCAACCUUGCGGCCGUACUCCCCAGGCGGCUCAUUUAAUGCGUUAGCGUCGGCACAGGAGGGGUCGAUACCUCCUAUACCUAAUGAGCAUCGUUUAUGGCUGGGACUAC